rnacentral:tRNA from 34 species
AUAGCUCAGUUGGUAGAGCACGACCUUGCCAAGGUCGGGGUCGCGAGUUCGAGUCUCGUU